rnacentral:rRNA from 1 species
GUGAACGCUGGCGGUAGGCCUAACACAUGCACGUCGAACGGCAGCACAGUAAGAGCUUGCUCUUACGGGUGGCGAGUGGCGGACGGGUGAGGAAUACAUCGGAAUCUACUUUUUCGUGGGGGAUAACGUAGGGAAACUUACGCUAAUACCGCAUACGACCUACGGGUGAAAGCAGGGGAUCUUCGGACCUUGCGCGAUUGAAUGAGCCGAUGUCGGAUUAGCUAGUUGGCGGGGUAAAGGCCCACCAAGGCGACGAUCCGUAGCUGGUCUGAGAGGAUGAUCAGCCACACUGGAACUGAGACACGGUCCAGACUCCUACGGGAGGCAGCAGUGGGGAAUAUUGGACAAUGGGCGCAAGCCUGAUCCAGCCAUACCGCGUGGGUGAAGAAGGCCUUCGGGUUGUAAAGCCCUUUUGUUGGGAAAGAAAAGCAGCAGGUUAAUACCCCGCUGUUCUGACGGUACCCAAAGAAUAAGCACCGGCUAACUUCGU